rnacentral:lncRNA from 1 species
UCUCAUUACAUUCAAAUCAUAGGAGCACAUCUAGCAGUCAUAUCAUGCUCAUCACGUAGCCAUCCAACCACCACUUCCACUAGUAGGGGCACUACCAAACAUAUAAAUCCAAAAGCACAAACUCACAUAAUCAACACCUCAAUGCUCAAGCUACAGGCAAAGCCCGGCCUUAAGUCCUCCGGGUUGGCCCAACAUCAACACAGAGAAAUCACAUCUCACCCAUCGUUCAAGG